ACCGGCUUUCACCAGCAUGUCAAGCCCAGGUAAGGUUCUUCGCGUUGCUUCGAAUUAAACCACAUGCUCCACCGCUUGUGCGGGCCCCCGUCAAUUCCUUUGAGUUUCGGCCUUGCGACCGUACUCCCCAGGCGCAGGACUUAACGCGUUAGCUACGGGACGCACCCCGACGGGAUGCACCCCAAGUCCUGAUGGUUUAGGGCUAGGACUAC
rnacentral:misc_RNA from 1 species